GACGAACGCUGGCGGCGUGCUUAACACAUGCAAGUCGAACGAAGCACUCUUGUUUAUUUGCGGUGGGAUUGUUGAUUUUGUGUCAGAGGCGCGUACGGGUGAGUAACGCGACGGUAAGCUGCCUUGAACAGGGGGAUAAUAGUUGGAAACGGCAGCUAAUACCGCAUAAUGGGACAGCGUCGGAUUAGGCAGUGUGUAAAGCUCCCGCGGCUUAGGAUGGGCCCGCGUUGGUUUUGCUAGUUGGUGAGGUAACCGCCUAGCAAGGCGACGAUCCAUAGCCGAGCUGAGAGGAUGACCAGCCACAUUGGGACUGAGACACGGCCCAGACUCCGACGGGAGGCAGCAGUGGGGAAUAUUGCACAAUGGGCGAAAGCCUGAUACAGCAACGCCGCGUGAGCGAUGAAGGCUUUAGGAAUGUAAAGCUCUCUGACCCGGGAUGAUAAUGACGGUACCGGGCGAAGAAGCACCGGCUAACUACGUG
rnacentral:rRNA from 1 species